UACGGGAGGCAGCAGUAGGGAAUUUUUCACAAUGGGCGCAAGCCUUAUGAAGCAAUGCCGCGUGAACGAUGAAGGUCUUAUAGAUUGUAAAGUUCUUUUAUAUGGGAAGAAACGCUAAGAUAGGAAAUGAUUUUAGUUUGACUGUACCAUUUGAAUAAGUAUCGGCUAACUAUGUGCCAGCAGCCGCGGUAAUACAUAGGAUGCAAGCGUUAUCCGGAUUUACUGGGCGUAAAACGAGCGCAGGCGGGUUUGUAAGUUUGGUAUUAAAUCUAGAUGCUUAACGUCUAGCUGUAUCAAAAACUGUAAACCUAGAGUGUAGUAGGGAGUUGGGGAACUCCAUGUGGAGCGGUAAAAUGCGUAGAUAUAUGGAAGAACACCGGUGGCGAAGGCGCCAACUUGGACUAUCACUGACGCUUAGGCUCGAAAGUGUGGGGAGCAAAUAGGAUUAGAUACCCUAGUAGUCCACACCGUAAACGAUCAUCAUUAAAUGUCGGCUCGAACGAGUCGGUGUUGUAGCUAACGCAUUAAAUGAUGUGCCUGG
rnacentral:rRNA from 1 species